AGAUUUCAGAACUGAAGAGAAUGAAACAGAGAAUAAGAAAAGGAUUGAGAGCUGAAAAGAUUAGAGAGCUGGAAACCCCAUUGUUUAUUCGAAGUUUCUCUUCUUGCUUCAUUGAUUUCAUUUCUCCUGAUUCAAAUACACUAAGACUGAUCCUAAAUAAUUAUUCUGUGUCUUUGAGGUUAUUUGGCUUGUGUUGAUAUUGUUGUGGGUUGAAGUCCAUUUCUGUUGGUAUUUUCUGGUCCUGGGUUUGGUUGAAAUCUAUCGUUGGGUUUAGCUACUGUUGUUGCUGUUUUCUGUAUUGAUUACUGCAUGUUGAUUUCUCACAUUCCUCCUCAUGUUUCCAAUAUCAGGU
rnacentral:lncRNA from 1 species